CUAACGCUGGCGGCGUGCCUAACACAAUGCAAGUCGUGCGGGGGGUAGCAAAUACCCCCAGCGGCAGACGGGUGAGUAACACGUGGGAAACUUACCUCUUAGUGGGGAAUAACGCUCCGAGAGGAGCGGUAAUACCGCAUGAGACCUAUCGCUGGGAUGCGAUAGAUGAAAGCUGGGGAUCGUAAAGACCUAGCGACUGAGAGAGAGUCCUGCGUCUGAUUAGUUAGUUGGUGAGGUAACGGCUCACCAAGACUUCGAUCAGUAGCCGGCCUGAGAGGGCGAUCGGCCACACUGGAACUGAGACACGGUCCAGACUCCUACGGGAGGCAGCAGUGGGGAAUCUUGCGCAAUGGGCGAAAGCCUGACGCAGCAACGCCGCGUGGGUGAUGAAGGUCUUCGGAUUGUAAAACCCUGUCGUUAGGGACGAAGGUAGGAAUCCUAAUACGGUUCAUGCUUGACGGUACCUAGAAAGGAAGCCCCGGGCUAACUCUGCGC
rnacentral:rRNA from 1 species